UUGGAUAAAGAACUGCCUGCAAAAAAAAAAAAAAGGAACAGUCAACUAGCUGUGGCAAUAUAUAGCAUUUAUCUCUUUGUAUAUUCGGCUCACAUCCAAGGAGAUUGAGAUGAGAUGAUCAUGGAGAUUGUUCUUCCAGUGUAAUACAUUGAGCUCUAAAGAGGAGGGAAGUAAUGCUGAAGGCUUGAGAUCCUGCCAUUUAAUAUAACUAUAGAGUAUGCAAAGUAAAAGAAUGUAGAAGGGGAUGUUAGAGAUGAAAUUUGGAAUAAGCCACAAAAUGAUGGUUCUAGUCAACUUUACUUACUGCAAUGACAAGUCUGGAUGACGUUCUGCUACAGUAAAAAGAGAUGGUAAAAUCUGCCCUUUAUCCUCUCACGUGUUGCUUUAAAAACACCAUGUGACAGCGUUGAUUUUGUCAUAAGAAAAGUACAGGAACUCUGAAAAGAACCAGGUCAAAUUAGUUCUUUAUUUGUGUUCAGUGAAAUGUCAGAUUAAUAUAUUAUUUUCUGUGCAACACAACAAUCAGUUUAUUAGUCAUUUACGGUUCCCAAACAAUGUGGCUAAUGAAUGUAACAUCUCAUGGGGAGCAAAAUGCAAAAAACAAGAAGGCCUUACACUUUAGCCUAAAGAGAUAUGAUAAAGAUAAUACAAAAACCCCUAGAUGUCUAUUCACAUGUAAAUUUCAACAUUUCACCAUUCUAAUUAGUUUGCCGCUUGGUUUGACAGAUAUUUAAACAUAUUAAACAUGUAAUUUUAUGUUGGGCAUAGAUGGGAGAUGAUUAUAGAAUGUUGUCUUUACUUGUUUUCUAAGGUUAAAGAAUGUAAUAAAGUUAUUCAGCUGUGGCCCAAAAGUAAAUUAAUAAAACAUACUUAUGUUCUUUUAAUUCUGAAUAUAGCACCGAUGUUCUGACUCCUAACCAUAAUCCCCUGUUCAUCCCGACACGUGAAAUGCUUGUAGAAAGUUGCCCAUAGAGAGUUGUCCGUAGUCAGCUCCCUUCUUCAUCAUGGCUAAUUUGAAGACAAAGAAGGUGUCUGGCUUAGCUAAUGUCACUGUCGACAGUGUCUACCAUUUUCUUGAUGAUGGCCUUGAACAUUGCAGGGCUAUUCAGCAAUAAUGACAUUUCUGGCCCGGCAAGUGAGGAGGAGUGAACGGCAGUGUGUGGAUUCUUCCCUUUAUCCAAACACAUCAUCCUUGUGCUUGCUGUGACCUGACCUCUGCUUGUGACCUGACCCUGCCUACUAAUUUUGUACUAUGCUCCUGGUUUGACCCUUGCUUGUCUUG